rnacentral:rRNA from 1 species
UACGUAGGGUGCAAGCGUUAAUCGGAAUUACUGGGCGUAAAGCGUGCGCAGGCGGUUAUGCAAGACAGAUGUGAAAUCCCCGGGCUCAACCUGGGAACUGCAUUUGUGACUGCAUGGCUGGAGUGCGGCAGAGGGGGAUGGAAUUCCGCGUGUAGCAGGUGAAAUGCGUAGAUAUGCGGAGGAACACCGAUGGCGAAGGCAAUCCCCUGGGCCUGCACUGACGCUCAUGCACGAAGCGUGGGAGCAACAG